rnacentral:rRNA from 1 species
AGAGUUUGAUCAUGGCUCAGGACGAACGCUGGCGGCACGCUUAACACAUGCAAGUCGAACGAGAGAAGAGGAGCUUGCUUUUCUGAUCUAGUGGCGAACGGGUGAGUAACACGUGAGCAAUCUGCCUUUCAGAGGGGGAUACCGAUUGGAAACGAUCGUUAAUACCGCAUAACAUAAUUGAACCGCAUGAUUUGAUUAUCAAAGAUUUAUCGCUGAAAGAUGAGCUCGCGUCUGAUUAGCUAGUUGGUAAGGUAACGGCUUACCAAGGCGACGAUCAGUAGCCGGACUGAGAGGUUGAUCGGCCACAUUGGGACUGAGACACGGCCCAGACUCCUACGGGAGGCAGCAGUGGGGAAUAUUGCACAAUGGAGGAAACUCUGAUGCAGCGAUGCCGCGUGAGGGAAGAAGGUUUUAGGAUUGUAAACCUCUGUCUUCAGGGACGAAAAAAGACGGUACCUGAGGAGGAAGCUCCGGCUAACUACGUGCCAGCAGCCGCGGUAAUACGUAGGGAGCGAGCGUUGUCCGGAAUUACUGGGUGUAAAGGGAGCGUAGGCGGGAUCGCAAGUCAGAUGUGAAAACUAUGGGCUUAACCCAUAAACUGCAUUUGAAACUGUGGUUCUUGAGUGAAGUAGAGGUAAGCGGAAUUCCUAGUGUAGCGGUGAAAUGCGUAGAUAUUAGGAGGAACAUCAGUGGCGAAGGCGGCUUACUGGGCUUUAACUGACGCUGAGGCUCGAAAGCGUGGGGAGCAAACAGGAUUAGAUACCCUGGUAGUCCACGCCGUAAACGAUGAUUACUAGGUGUGGGGGGACUGACCCCUUCCGUGCCGCAGCAAACGCAAUAAGUAAUCCACCUGGGGAGUACGACCGCAAGGUUGAAACUCAAAGGAAUUGACGGGGGCCCGCACAAGCAGUGGAGUAUGUGGAUUAAUUCGAAGCAACGCGAAGAACCUUACCAGGUCUUGACAUCGUAUGCAUAGCUCAGAGAUGAGUGAAAUCUCUUCGGAGACAUAUAGACAGGUGGUGCAUGGUUGUCGUCAGCUCGUGUCGUGAGAUGUUGGGUUAAGUCCCGCAACGAGCGCAACCCUUACUGUUAGUUGCUACGCAAGAGCACUCUAGCAGGACUGCCGUUGACAAAACGGAGGAAGGUGGGGAUGACGUCAAAUCAUCAUGCCCCUUAUGACCUGGGCCUCACACGUACUACAAUGGCUGUCAACAGAGGGAAGCAAAGCCGCGAGGUGGAGCGAACCCCUAAAAGCAGUCUUAGUUCGGAUUGUAGGCUGCAACCCGCCUACAUGAAGUCGGAAUUGCUAGUAUCGCAGAUCAGCAUGCUGCGGUGAAUACGUUCCCGGGCCUUGUACACACCGCCCGUCACGCCAUGGGAGUCGGUAACACCCGAAGCCUGUAGUCUAACCGCAAGGAGGACGCAGUCGAAGGUGGGAUUGAUGACUGGGGUGAAGUCGUAACAAGGUA